rnacentral:lncRNA from 1 species
GGUCAAUUAGCUUUUUAGUACUCACUGUUUUGAUAGGGAUUGAAUUUUCAAGAUUGGUGUAUAUCAUACGUGGUGUGUUCAAGGACUAUACAAACAGCAGUGACAGGCAAAGCCAGCAACUCAGCAAGGGACAGUAUGUGAAACUUGCUGAAGACUACUCCUUCGUCAUUUUUUCCUGGUUUGUUUAAAACGGGAAGCUGAACAGGUUUGUUUAAAACGGGAAGCUGAACAGAAAAACAACUUCAAAGCUCUCCGAGGUGUCUCCUGCCUCAAACCAAGAUAUUGAAGUGCUCGGACUAUAUUGGAAGGGAUAGAGAUUCAACAUUGUUCAUCCAGAUCAGCCUUUGUCCAUUGGUUUCUAUGAUAGAUGAGGAUUUUCUGACCACUUGAGAACACAGGACUAAGCGAACAGGAGGAGCUUAAGUGCAGUUGUGCUCUGAAUCCAGUGUCCUGAAGGCACUGGAUUCAGGCACUGGAAAAUGGGCACGUUCUCUUCAAUCUGUUUCCUUCCACAUGAGCUUCACAUACAUCUUUUAUCACGGCAAUCCUUUCAACAGUCUUCCCUUGAAGAUGGACCAAAUAUGAGCUGGGAUUGGAAAGGCUGGGUUUGGAAAAGAUUUGCAGUGUCCCUCCCUAAUACAUCCUUUCUGCCUCCUGCACUAUGAAAACAAGACCUUAGAACCCAGGCAGUUUUCUUGGGUCUUCCAGAAUUUAAAUCAACUGGAGGGCUUAAGAGAGGUGGGAGAGAAUAGCGGCAUGGAGUGAAGAAAUAUGAAGAAAGGAAAGAUUCUUAUGUGUUCCUGAGGCAUGAUGCCAGCUAUUAUAGCCACAGAUUUCUGAACAGCUUAUUUUUUCAUUCAGUAUUGAAUUGCAGAGUAAAUACAAUGUAAUUCUCCUUCGGUUCAUGGAUCAAUUUGUAAUGGAAGGUACAUAUGCGUGAACAAGAUAGACAAUGGUACAGAAAAAUGGUGUUUAGUACCAAUACCACUGGAAGUGAGAACUGGGCCUUACCUUUGUACUUUGGAUUGGAUACUUUUGUCAUGAGCAAAUCUUUACUCAGUUCUAUCCUCCCUUUCUCAACAGCCAGCCAAAAGGUAAUA